AGAGUUUGAUCCUGGCUCAGGAUGAGCGCUGGCGGCGUGCCUAAUACAUGCAAGUCGAACGAGGAGUACUUACUUCGGUUUUUACUCCUAGUGGCGAACGGGUGAGUAACGCGUUGGUGACCUGCCCCGAAGAGGGGGACAACAGUUCGAAAGAACUGCUAAUACCCCAUGUGGUCUUACUGGUUAGAGGCUGUAUGACUAAAGGAGCAAUCCACUUCGGGAGGGGCCUGCGUCCCAUCAGCUAGUUGGUAAGGUAACGGCCUACCAAGGCGAAGACGGGUAGGGGGCCUGAGAGGGUGGCCCCCCACACUGGCACUGAAACACGGGCCAGACACCUACGGGUGGCAGCAGUAGGGAAUAUUGCACAAUGGGCGAAAGCCUGAUGCAGCAACGCCGCGUGCGCGAAGAAGGCCUUCGGGUUGUAAAGCGCUUUUCUGGAGGAAGAGGAAGGACGGUACUCCAGGAAUAAGGAUCGGCUAACUACGUGCCAGCAGCCGCGGUAACACGUAGGAUCCGAGCGUUAUCCGAAUUUACUGGGCGUAAAGCGCGUGUAGGCGGUUGGGUAAGUUGGACGUGAAAGCUCCUGGCUCAACUAGGAGAGGUCGUUCAAAACUGCCCGGCUAGAGGGCGACAGAGGGAGGUGGAAUUCCCGGUGUAGUGGUGAAAUGCGUAGAUAUCGGGAGGAACACCAGUGGCGAAGGCGGCCUCCUGGGUCGCACCUGACGCUCAGACGCGAAAGCUAGGGGAGCAAACGGGAUUAGAUACCCCGGUAGUCCUAGCUGUAAACGAUGUGGACUUGGCGUUGGUGGGGUUAAAUCCAUCAGUGCCGAAGCUAACGCGAUAAGUCCACCGCCUGGGGACUACGGUCGCAAGAUUAAAACUCAAAGGAAUUGACG
rnacentral:rRNA from 1 species